rnacentral:ncRNA from 1 species
GUGGAGCCGCCGCCGCGGCCGCCCCGGACGAGUGCGUCGUACCCGGCACGACAAGACGACGCCCA